AGUGAACGCUGGCGGUAGGCCUAACACAUGCAAGUCGAACGGAAGCACAGUAAGAGCUUGCUCUUACGGGUGGCGAGUGGCGGACGGGUGAGGAAUACAUCGGAAUCUACUUUUUCGUGGGGGAUAACGUAGGGACACUUACGCUAAUACCGCAUACGACCUACGGGUGAAAGCAGUGGAUCUUCGGACCUUGCGCGAUUGAAUGAGCCGAUGUCGGAUUAGCUAGUUGGCGGGGUAAAGGCCCACCAAGGCGACGAUCCGUAGCUGGUCUGAGAGGAUGAUCAGCCACACUGGAACUGAGACACGGUCCAGACUCCUACGGGAGGCAGCAGUGGGGAAUAUUGGACAAUGGGCGCAAGCCUGAUCCAGCCAUACCGCGUGGGUGAAGAAGGCCUUCGGGUUGUAAAGCCCUUUUGUUGGGAAAGAAAAGCAGCAUGUUAAUACCCCGCUGUUCUGACGGUACCCAAAGAAUAAGCACCGGCUAACUUCGUG
rnacentral:rRNA from 1 species